GGGCGCAUGGCCUAAUGGUAAGGCGUCAGAUUUCGGUUCUACGUCGACCUCUGAAGAUUGCAGGUUCGAUCCCUGCUGUGCUCG